GCUCAGUUGGUAGAGCAUGGCGCUUGCAACGCCAGGGUUGUGGGCUCAAUUCCCAC
rnacentral:tRNA from 1 species